GAGGCUUUGAUCCUAUGGUCUCAAUUGGCUGUUUCAACUCUGCUCAUCAACUUGGCAUUGAAUGGUUGCUAUAUGCAGAAUCGACUGUAAGGGGUGUGCAACAUAUGAUUCAGUAUUGUUUACACAUUAUGAGAUGACCACGAUAAGCCUACUUACCAUCUGUCACUAUACAGAGAUCAAGAGAAAAUCCAAGAUGUUCCCAGAGAAAAAAGAGAUGUUACUGACAAAAAAAAAUAUGAAGCUGAAUAUCAGAGAAAAAAAUUUCCAGCAUCAAUAUAAGAUACUGAAAGACAACAGAAUGGUGUCUCUAGUUCUGAGGGAAAAUUAUUUUUAAACCAGAAUUCUACAGUCAGCCAAAUGUGACUGCAUUCAAAUGUAAGAGAAAACAAAAAAGACGGUUUGGAACAUGUCAUGAAUUCUAUAGGACAAGAGAAAUGCCACUGCUGCCCACUGCUCACUGUGGAGUGGGGAAAACCAUGCUGAAAGGUUUUCCCCGCUCCAGCUCUUUUUAUUGCGAUCUUUUGUAUUCUUGCCCAAUUGUGUUCCUUGUAUUUGUGGGUCCUGAGCUUGGGGCAGGGGUUGGAAAACUGGUCCUCAGGCCAAACCCACCCUGUCACCAGUUCUUAUCAAUAAAGUUUUAUUGGAACAUAAUCAUGUUCAUUUAUUCACACACCUGUGGCUGCUUUCACUCGGCAAUGGCAGACAUGAGAAACUGUUACAGAGAUACAUGACUCACAAAGCAUAUAACCAGGGCUGGGACUAAGGUGAGGGGAGAGAG